GGCCGACAGACACGAUGCCCCAGCGCAGCGCCAUGGUUGCGAUGCGGAGCCCUCGGCACCUUCGGUCCCUCCAGGCGCGAAUUAAGUACCUGACGCCCCGCCCACCCCGGGGGCGGGUCCCCAUCCUCCGCCCGUAUUGCGCCUACGCCGAUUCUCGUUGGCUCCAGUCGGCAGAGCGGUCAUUUAGUUCUAGCUUCCCCGCUGGGCGAAUGCACCGUUUAGCUCCGCCUUACAGAGGGAACCACACCUUGACGUCGCUUCUACAGAUCUCUUACCUAUGACUUUAGGCUCGUCGGAUACGCGGGGGACCCUGAGUGAAGGCUGCAGACUCAUCAGGGGCAGAUGGAAAAAUACCAGGAUUGAGCCUCUCAGAAGUGAUGCUUGAAUCCAGUCUUCAAAGAUGAGGACUCCGGCAGGUGACGUGGCAAUAGCGUUUUGGAGGGACCAGUCCAGAUACACAGGCAUGGAGCCAUGCAUUUGUUCCAGAAAGUGUAUUUGGAUGGAACCGGAACAUGGAACAGGACACACAGCAGGAUGCGGAGCAGUGUCAGAUGAGGCCAGAAAGGUGGGUGGGACUGGUCUUCAGGGGCUCCAGAUGAGGCUGAGGGGCUGGGCCUAGGUCCAGGAGGAGGCUGGCGAUGAGAUGGCUGGAAGCCAGGGGUUCAGGGAGGCCCAGGCUCCUGGUAUCAGGGUUCACCGGCUAUACUGAGGAUCCCCUGCCCCUGGCACCCAGCUGUGGAGGGGACACUGUCUUUGAGGCAUCACUGGUUC
rnacentral:lncRNA from 10 species